UCCUUAAUUUUCUCCCAGCAUGUUCACCAUCUUACUGAAGUUGCCCAGUGCACUCUGUCUGCCUCCCUAGAAAGAUCCCUGGGGAGGAAGGUGAUGGCAGCAGAAGUCACCUGGCUUCCUCUGUUGGACUGUGACAGUGAAAGGCUUUCCUCCAGGUAUCCCAAGGACAAUGUUGUUUUCAAGACUUGUGUGUGGACUACAAGAUGGCUUCCUCCCUCAUUACAUAUGCCAACAUGCAUAAUUUCCAAAGAAACAUUUCAUACCAAACUGCUCUUGGAUUUAACUCAGCAAGGGAAGAUAACAUGUGGAGUUAUCAUGUGGAGUUCUCCAUCAAAGAGACUAACAGCAUCAUAGAACAUGACAGCAUCCAGACCAAUUGUGCAUUUACAUCUUCAGACUUUCCUAUGAGGUUGAGCAGGGGCAGCAAGUUUCCAAUCACCACCAGUUGUUUGAAGCAUCCAACCAAGAAAAAAAAAAAAGAAAAAAGAGAGAAAGCAAAAAAGAAAAC